CAACAGCUAGAGUUUGAUCCUGGCUCAGGAUGAACGCUAGCGACAGGCUUAACACAUGCAAGUCGAGGGGCAACGGGACGUAGCAAUACGUUGCCGGCGACCGGCGGAUGGGUGAGUAACGCGUAUGCAACCUGCCCACGACAGGGGAUAGCCCGUUGAAAGACGGAUUAAUACCCCAUAAAACAGGGGUUCCGCAUGGGACUAUUUGUUAAAGGGUUUUCCGCGAGGGGAGCCACGGUUGUGGAUGGGCAUGCGUUCCAUUAGGCAGUUGGUGAGGUAACGGCUCACCAAACCGACGAUGGAUAGGGGAACCGAGAGGUUGGUCCCCCACACUGGUACUGAGAUACGGACCAGACUCCUACGGGAGGCAGCAGUGAGGAAUUUUGGUCAAUGGACGGAAGUCUGAACCAGCCAAGUCGCGUGAAGGAAGGCGGCCCUAAGGGUUGUAAACUUCUUUUGUAAGGGAAUAAAGUGCGUUACGUGUAGUGCAUUGCAAGUACCUUACGAAUAAGGAUCGGCUAAACUCCGUGCC
rnacentral:rRNA from 1 species